GUCCACGCUGUCAAAGAUGAAUGCUAAUACUAGGAAUUUUCUGGUGUAAAGUAAACACGUUAAGCAUUCCGCCUGGGAAGUACGAUCGCAAGAUUGGAACUCAAAGGAAUUGACGGGGGUCUACACAAGUGGUGGAGCAUGUGGUUUUAAUGCGAUAAUACACGCGAAAUCUUACCAGUUCUUGAAUAUAACUUUAAUAGCUUUAAUAAGGUUAUUAUUUAAAAAGUAUAAUACUUUCAUAAAUAAGUUAUACAGGUGUUGCAUGGCUGUAGU
rnacentral:rRNA from 1 species